rnacentral:rRNA from 1 species
AGAGUUUGAUCCUGGCUCAGAGCGAACGCUGGCGGCAGGCCUAACACAUGCAAGUCGAACGGACCCUUCGGGGUUAGUGGCGGACGGGUGAGUAACACGUGGGAACGUGCCUUUAGGUUCGGAAUAGCUCCUGGAAACGGGUGGUAAUGCCGAAUGUGCCCUUCGGGGGAAAGAUUUAUCGCCUUUAGAGCGGCCCGCGUCUGAUUAGCUAGUUGGUGGGGUAAUGGCCCACCAAGGCUACGAUCAGUAGCUGGUCUGAGAGGAUGACCAGCCACAUUGGGACUGAGACACGGCCCAAACUCCUACGGGAGGCAGCAGUGGGGAAUCUUGCGCAAUGGGCGAAAGCCUGACGCAGCCAUGCCGCGUGAAAAGGAAGGUCUUAGGAUUGUAAAAUACUUUCACCGG